AUGUGCAGGAUCCCGAUCGUUAGAAGUUUGCGGAUGGGUUGCCUGGAGAUUUGGUUACAAUCAGGUUCAUUAUUAUUUUUUUUUUCCUCCUGAAACAAGUGAAGGCGAUGGUUACUGCUGUCAAUCUUGGCAAUCAAUGUGAGCGGCCAUGUCGUAAGUAUUCAAAGCAUUUCCCGUCGUGCAACAUCAGAAAGUGAGUGGCCAGGGCAUUGAUCUGAGGAAGGCAAAAGGAGGCAGGGCUCCCCCGCCCAGACAGCACAGGCAAGAUGAGACAACACAGAGAGAGGGAGAGGGGGAGAGAGAGAGAGAGAGAGUGAGAGACUGAGAGCAAGCGGGGAAAGCAACAACUGCGGAGAAAGUGAGCACAAAACAGAAAGUGAAAUCACCCCAGGCUGCCAGCCGCAUCCCCGAGAAGCUAUCACCACUCACAUUGCUAUUAGACAAAUGAAACCUUAAACCUCUCUCCUCUAAUGACCACUGAUUGCCCGGAGUGGUGAGGAAAGGCUAAACUGUUGUUAAGAUGGGAGUGCGGAAAGCAACCUCAAGCCCACAAAAUGAGAGAGAGAGAGAGAAGUUGUUGAUUCAUCUCUGUAUUUUUGGCACUUUCUCCCCAUUUUCCAGAAGGCGCCUGGAACAGUUAGUAACAGAGAAACUUUUUAAUUUUAAAAUAGCUUCAUAACUUGCAGAGGCCAAAAAGACGAGAGGAAAGCCUGAUUUCGCUUUCCUCCACUCCCAAGUAGUGGAGGAACUGCGGAAUAGGUUAGACCCAGAAGCAUACUCAGCACCACUGCGAAUGAACCUCGCUUCAUAAGGACGUGAUGAAAAUUGAGCAUUAACGUGAUGGCAUAGGACUGAUCUGAUCUGGCUCUAUUUCAUCUUAUUAACAAGCUGUAAAACUCAACACACUGCUGGAGUCGGGCGCAUUGCAUCCUCUACCUUGCUAUCCGAGGUACUAUCGUCCCUCUAAGUCGAGUCCAGGGAAAAUGAGUUUUAAGUCAGAACCUCUUGGAACAGCGGAUCUAUUUGAUACAAUAUUUUUGGCAAUUCCACUACAAUAAAAGGAGCAAUCAAGUUCUAUUCGGCAAGCAGCAAACACCUUGACACAUAACUUUAAAAUUACCUAGCAAAGCUUUAUCAUCAAAUUAGCUGGUAAGGGCAUAGCAGCUCUUUUUCAUGCAUUCUUUCAAUUUUAAUAAAAGGUAGUAAAAUACUGAAAUUCGGAGACAGGGGGUAAGUUGUAAGAUUGUAAAUACUGAGUUUGUAUUCACCUGCGUUCAGCUAAUUCAAAGUAUUCACCUUGCUACAGUUAUCUGGGCUAUGGAUUUAACAGCUGCCUUUCCAGAUACUGCUAUGUCCUUUUUAAUCUUUAAUUAAAAGAAUUCCAGCGAUUGGUCACUAACACUUUCCUUCUGACACAUUUAAACCUGCUGCAAGUAAAGGAAACACCUUGACUUUUUGCACAACUAGUAGCUUUGGCGCGCGAAAAAAAAAAAAAAAAAAAGAGCCC